UGGAAACAGAUGCUAAUACCGCAUAAAUCCAAGAACCGCAUGGUUCUUGGCUGAAAGAUGGCGUAAGCUAUCGCUUUUGGAUGGACCCGCGGCGUAUUAGCUAGUUGGUGAGGUAACGGCUCACCAAGGCAAUGAUACGUAGCCGAACUGAGAGGUUGAUCGGCCACAUUGGGACUGAGACACGGCCCAAACUCCUACGGGAGGCAGCAGUAGGGAAUCUUCCACAAUGGACGCAAGUCUGAUGGAGCAACGCCGCGUGAGUGAAGAAGGCUUUCGGGUCGUAAAACUCUGUUGUUGGAGAAGAAUGGUCGGCAGAGUAACUGUUGUCGGCGUGACGGUAUCCAACCAGAAAGCCACGGCUAACUACGUGCCAGCAG
rnacentral:rRNA from 2 species